CAGUCGCCGCGGUAAUGCGUAGGUCCCGAGCGUUGUCCGGAUUUAUUGGGCGUAAAGCGAGCGCAGGCGGUUAGAUAAGUCUGAAGUUAAAGGCUGUGGCUUAACCAUAGUACGCUUUGGAAACUGUUUAACUUGAGUGCAAGAGGGGAGAGUGGAAUUCCAUGUGUAGCGGUGAAAUGCGUAGAUAUAUGGAGGAACACCGGUGGCGAAAGCGGCUCUCUGGCUUGUAACUGACGCUGAGGCUCGAAAGCGUGGGGAGCAAACAGGAUUAGAUACCCCUGUAGUCCCUGUCUCUUAUACA
rnacentral:rRNA from 1 species